ACAUGCCCACACCUGUGGCUUCUGAAGCAGAGCACCAGCAGUGACAGUCCCACCAGAACCGCAUGGAAUAGAAAACUGUGCAUUUCCCUAAGGAAAGGGAAUGCCAGAGAAGGGCAGAAGGGAAAUCAGGAAGACAAAACGGUAAAUUACCUACCACAAAUCCAAUUCAUUGGUAUUUUUCCACUUACACUUAACCAAGCAACGAUUUCUCCUGGUCCCAUAAUGGAAAAGAGGGUUUAUCUAGAUUCAUAUAUACAAGACUGAAGAGUGAAGAGAGACCCAGAGAAUGUUCUAAAAUCUGCCAGUUAGCAUAAUCACACAGAGAAAUCUCUGCUUCCAGAGGAGGAGCCAAGUUCAAGUCAGAGUGUCUUCAUGUUGGAGUGGACCUUUCCUCUAUCUGUCAACAGAAUGGAUAAAUUGUGGAAGAGUAAUAUCAGAAUACUACACAUCAGUAAAAAACAACAAACUUCUGCUACAAACAAUCAACAUCGAUGAAUCUUUCAGGCAAAAGGGCAAAGAAAAGUAUUGGUCUUCCAAAACAAAUAGAGGACGGAGCUGCUGCUGUUGCAUGGUGUCUAGAAACUCAGACAACUUCAUCAUUCCAUAUUUGCAUCCAAGAGAGAGAAAGAAAAACUACAAUCAUUUUCCAUUUACCCAUCAACCCAUCAACCUCCAAAUAAAGGCUAUUAAAAAACAAUCAAAGUGUGAAGAGGGCAGAAAAUGUGAUGAAGAGAUUCUUUGGAGAAAGUAGCUGCCACUGUUACCUUGGGAUCUGCCUAUAGUCCUCACAGAGCUUGCCCUUGCAGGAUAGAACAUAGGAGUCUGGGAGUCUGCAAGAAGAGACAGGGUCUCACUAUGUUGCCCCAGUUGGCCUUGAACUGCUGGACUCAAGGGAUCCUCCUGCCUCAGCAUCCUGAGUAGCUGGGUCUACAGGCAUGAACCACCAGGCCCAGAACCCUGUCUUUUGAAAGCCAUAUGCGAUCUGUCUGCCCUGAAGUGACUACUUCAUCUCCAACCAGCCCUUGGCUGGCAAAGUCAGGAAGACUCCAGUCUUUCCUGAAGACCAGGGGAGAGUUUAUAACUCUAGCAUCAAAGUCAGCAGCUGUUCAUCUAGAAGACAACUUCCCAAAAGUCAAUGUCUUUGCCUGAAGCUUUUCUUCCCAGAUCUCCUAUGGUGAAACAACCAAAGGGAAGAAGAAUGUGGGCAGCCCUCAGUAAGACAGGAGAUGAGCAUCAACAUUGACCCAUUCUUUCUUCCAGUCCUCGAUGCUUACCUUGUACAUUCUUCUUUGUCUUCCGACUCAGUGCCUUUAGGGUAUGGACGUUGCCUGGUCCCACACAAGCCAAGCAUCAAAUGGAUGGCUCAACAAGGAGGCCAAGACCAGCUAAUGUUUAGUGAGCACCCAAAGGGGCCACACUGGAGAGAACAGCACAGCUCCGUCUGAGAAACAGCUGUUCCUUCCUGCCUGAGAGGCAGAGUGAUAGAAGAUAUCACAGAAUGUUGCUGCUUUGUCUUCCACCCUGAACCCUCCACGACCUCCCUGUAGCUUCCUGAUUUUAAGUAGACAUCAAAUGAUUCUUAAUCCUUUCUGGGUCUUGGAACGAUUUGAAAAUUGUCAACAGUACUGGGAUUCCCAGAAUAAUGCACAUAUGUACAUACUCAGAUAUUCCCCAAGCCCUGGAUAUAAUUUUAAGGGAGUUCACAGACCACACUCCCCCACCCAUCUGUGGACCCAGAUUCUGUGGGUUCGAGAUUCAGAAGCCCUGUUUCUAGGCAGGCCCUCUGUUGCUAACGCCCCUCGAGAACAUCACCCUAGAUGAUUAUCCCUUCUUCCUCCACUCCUUCCCACCUUCUCCAACUGCUGGGUUUCAGCACAAAGAUUGCUUGCCAGUUAAACUGGCACCAUGGACCGCACAGUAGUUGUUUCUUGGGUCUAGAGGAAACAGCCAGAUUCCUUUAAGUAAAUCAUGUCUUAGUUAUUGAUUGUCUCCACUUGAAGUUUUUGACAAUCUCUGAUUAAAUCAUAAACCACUGCA
rnacentral:lncRNA from 1 species